AGGCAUGGCUGGGGUUUGAGCGACGGGGAUGCGCGAUGGGAGCCGUAUCGCUGCUCUUGCUGGCGUGCCCGACGAAUCCGAGCGCCCGGAGCAGGAUUCCUGCCCCGCAUUCGUCUCGCCGGGGUAAGAUUCUUGUCAGAGCGAAGGCAGGGAGCAAUGCAGGGCAUACUCUCGCGGUAGAGCGGCUUCGCAGCGCUCCCAGGCGACGGGCAGCCGAUUUUCCUGCGGAUUUGCCGUCCAUCGAGCGACGGGAUUCUAGCUGGCUUGGGAGCUUGGCGAAGAUUUUGGGGGUUGGAAUCGCUGUUGUCGCUCUGGCUGCCUUGGGAGCUCAUCGCCCGGCGUUUGCUGCUCCUGCUUUUGUGGGAGAGGAGGAAGAGCAGAAGAUCACAGCCGCGGAUUUACAUUCUAGAUUUGUGGAGUGGAAGGACGGGUUUCAUAGAGAGAUGGAGCAGAUGGGACCGAUGAGGAAGAGAUUGCUUGAGAUCUAUGGCUUGGACAAGAGGUUUGAGAAGUUCCGGCAGGGAAUCGAAGAGAGGGAAUUGAUGUACAGGGAAGUUCUUGGUGUCAAGGACAUGCUGAAAGAGAUUGAGGAACUGGCUGGGAAGUCCGAAGCCCGAAGCCUCGAGGUGGAAUUUAGAGUCCGCGAGGCUCUAGUGCAAGCCCGGCGAAAGUUGACGAUGGGAGCUCGAAGGUUGCAAGGAGAGGUUUUGCUAAAGACGAGCUCGCACCUGGCUAAGCUGAGGAAGGAAGAAGCGUCCCUGAUGAAGGAGCUCAACGAGGCUAUGGAUGGCUUUCCUGGUUUGAGAAAGAAGUUUGACGCUGCGGAAACGCAACCAGCAGAGGACGAUCUAGGUGGCUCAACGAAGGCCUUCUCUCCGAAGUCGGAAUCGGAUGACCAAGUCGAUGCUCAGGAAUCGCUAUUCUUUUCAAAGACCGAGGAGCUGAGAGCUAAAAUUGUGAACGUGAAAGCGGAGCUUGUGGGAUCCGAGUACGAGGGGUGGCUGAGGGCGUGGCACGAAAUACCAAACUUUACUGCCAUUUUUGCUGCGGAGCUCGAGGAGGCUGCCAAGUUCCGGCUGCCCGAACGUCUAGAGUCACGCAUAGCGAACGAUCUUAGAGCGUCAGGGAAAGAAAUAUGGGAGGAAAGUAUUUUGCCACUGGCUUUAGACAAACAGGAGAAAGGCGUAGUGCCAGUCGACAGUACCGUGAAAUCUGAGGUGGAUGAAUUGCUUCGAAGGCAUAUCGAGUUUGCUGGUUCCGAUGAAAGAAAAGCAGUGUCGGCUGUUGACGGAAAACUAGGAUCGAUCGAACUUUAUUCUGCUCUAGGGGGAAGCGUUUCAGACGUUCCGGGCCCUGAAGCCGUGAAGACAAUUUUGGGAUGGCGGAAGUGGUGCUCGAUCAAGAAAGAAGAAUUAAAGCAGCACUUGCUCGACCAUCCGGAGGCUGGCAAGAAAUAUAUUCAAGAGCAGCAGGAGAAAUUGCUUUUAGCGAGGGAUAGAGUUCUCCAGAACACUUGGUAUAAUGAGAAAUCUCGGCGGUGGGAGAUGUCAGACGCAGCGGCCAUGUAUGCUGUAGAGAAGAAUCUCGUCCAUCACGUAAGAAUUCGGCAUGACCUUCGUGUCAUCUUUGUGGGCCUCAAAGGUGACGAUCAAGAGUACGUUGUCAAUGUCGAGGAUCUGAACGAAAGGUUGGAAGACGUUGGUGGCUUCGACGCGUUUUAUGCCAUGUUAAAGGAGAACAAAAUCCCUACAGUGAUGGAAAAAAUGUGGAUACCUUUACGAGAGUGGUCCGCUUUCCAGUUGAUCAGGCUUCCUUUCGUCAUGCUGAUAGACGCUGUUUUGUACGUAUGGAACUUGGGCGUCGUUGCAGCAGCUAGAGACUUAUACUUUGAAAGCCUUGACGCUCUCUUGGGAGAACUGAUGGUGCGAUUCGGUUACCCGGCAAUUCUUAAGCUUCCUCGCCUGGUACGAGAAAUGAUUGGGUUUGAACUACCAAAGGGGUCAGAGUUUCUUGAACCGACAUUUCUUAUGAAAUGGCAGACGGCAGCCCAGGCUAAGUUUGAUGCUCGUCAGAUCGCGUUGCCGUUUUGGAUGGAUCUUCCACUUCGUAUCUACGUGGUUGGUGUUCCGCUCUUGUUUGUCGUAACACGGGUGGCAAAAGCUAUUUAUCGUUUUAUUGGACCUCCUCCACUGCCUAAGUCUCAGUAUGACAAAGCUGUGGAACUACAUAUGAAGGUCUACAAAGAGAUGACACCUCUUCUGAAGCAAGUAACUACAAAUCCUAUCAAGAGAGUGUUUGAUAAGAUGAAGAGAAUACGAAAGCCACCAGUCUCGCUAAACGAUUUUGUUGGUAUUGAGACUUUUAGAGAAGAGGUAGAUGAAGUCGUCAGCUUCCUGAGAGAUCCGGGAGCUUUCAAAAAAUUAGGUGCACGGGCUCCGCGGGGCGUUAUCAUUGUAGGAGAAACAGGAACCGGAAAGACGACACUGGCUCGAGCGAUCGCAUCCGAAGCGCGAGUUCCAGUCGUUGAGCUGCAAAGCUUUGACUUGCAAGGCGGAGGGGAAUGGGUCGGGCAAAAGGCUGCAAAUGUUCGUGAGCUUUUUAAGACGGCCCGACAGUUUGCACCUAUUAUCCUCUUCAUGGACGACUUUGACGACUUCGUUGGCAAGCGGGGAGAGACCAUGCAUUUAGACACACAGGAGCUGGAGACUCUGAUAAAUCAAAUGCUCGUUGAGCUUGAUGGGUUUGAAACACAGGAAGGCGUGGUUGUACUUGCUACAACUAGCCAUCCUGAGAGGAUAGAUGAAGCUCUGCGUAGACCGGGGCGAAUGGAUAGGACAAUUAAAUUGCUUCCGCCCAACAGAACUCAGCGUGAGCAAAUGCUUCGUCUGAUUGCUCGGAACACCAUGUUUCCCCAUGUGGUUGACUGGGUAAAUUGGGCAGAGGUAGCAGAGAAGACAGAAGGCCUUACUUAUGUUGACCUUGAGCCUAUUCCCGUUAAUUUGCAACAAUGCGCUACCCACUGGAAAACCAAAGACGAGGAAGAGCUUUUUAGUUAUCUGUGCAUAUUAGAUAAAUAUAACAAAAUAGUACCAGAAUGGAUUAGGAAGACACCUCUCCUCAAGAAAUGGGAUCAGAGCGUGAUUGAUUGGCUCGGCCUCCGUGUUACGAAGGAGGAUUUCGAAAUGACUGUUCGGUAUAUGGACGUGCGAGGCAGAUCAAAGCCAGGAAUCGAGUUCCACGAUCCUCUUUAUCCGUGGACGAGAGAAACGAAGUAUCCUCACGCGGUAUGGGCUGCUGCUCGAGGCUUGCUUGCGCGUUUGCUUCCCAACUUUGAUAUUGUCGAAUACAUAUGGCUAGACGAAACAUCGUGGGAGGGGAUUGCAUGGACGAGGCUAACAAGGAGAGUUGAAGAAGGAUAUCUGGAAACGCACACGCAGACCAGAAACUACCUUGAGAAAAAACUAGUUUUAUGCUAUGCCUCUCACGUAGCAUGCUGCAUGCUAAUGCCGGUCCUGGACAGGAACAACCUUGCAGAACCACAGCUUGAAGAGGCCAAGCAGAUUGCGGCGGACAUGGUCAUGGAGUAUGGAUGGGCUUUGGAUGACAGUCCGAUGGUGUACCGUAGCAAAGGGGAGGGCCCAAUGGAUAUGGGCUUGCAGGAGAUGACGGUGAUAGAGAGAAAGGUCACGAAGCUUCUCACUGUUGCUUGUGACCGAGCCAGCCAAAUUCUGGCACGAAACAAACAAGUGCUUGAAGCCUUGGUUGAGCAGCUAGUUGUGCAUGAAAACAUCACGCAGGAGUUCAUGGAGAAGACUCUCAAGGAGAAAGGAGCAACUUUCGAGGGGGAGCCAUUUACACUACAGGAUUUGGAUUCUUCCUUACAGGAACAGCCUACAAAUGGCACAGGGAGGUUAAUGGGAGCUUUAGUGAAUUGAGUGAGACAAACCAAAAAUCUGAUAUGUUCUUAAUGGUUUAGUCUACAGAUGGAAAGCUUCUUGACAUGGGGAGGAUAGGGUUUAUAGAAAAUGGUGUGAUGUGGAGAUAUGCACAUAUUCCCUAGGAGUUUUAUGAGAGGAGAAUUUAUGCUAAAGGAGAAUAAGGAUUUGGAGGAAA